rnacentral:rRNA from 1 species
UACGUAGGGUGCAAGCGUUGUCCGGAAUUAUUGGGCGUAAAGAGCUUGUAGGUGGCUCGUUGCGUCGGGAGUGAAAACCUGCGGCUUAACCGCAGGCCUGCUUCCGAUACGGGCGAGCUAGAGUUCGGCAGGGGAGACUGGAAUUCCUGGUGUAGCGGUGAAAUGCGCAGAUAUCAGGAGGAACACCGGUGGCGAAGGCGGGUCUCUGGGCAUUAACUGACGCUGAGGAGCGAAAGCAUGGGGAGCGAACAGG